UACGGAGGGUGCAAGCGUUAUCCGGAUUUACUGGGUUAAAGGGUGCGUAGGUGGGUUGGUAAGUCAGUGGUGAAAUACUUUCGCUUAACGAAGGAACUGCCAUUGAUACUACCAGUCUUGAAUACAGUGGAGGUAGGCGGAAUGCGUCAUGUAGCGGUGAAAUGCUUAGAUAUGACGCAGAACACCAAUUGCGAAGGCAGCUUGCUACACUGUUAUUGACACUGAGGCACGAAAGCGUGGGGAUCAAACAGG
rnacentral:rRNA from 1 species